rnacentral:rRNA from 1 species
GACGAACCGUGCGAACGUUGUUCGGAAUCACUGGGCAUAAAGGGCGCGUAGGCGGCUCCUCAAGUCAGGGGUGAAAUCCGGCGGCUUAACUGUCGAAGUGCCUUUGAUACUGGGGAGCUCGAGGGAGGUAGGGGUGUGUGGAACUUCCGGUGGAGCGGUGAAAUGCGUUGAUAUCGGAAGGAACGCCGGUGGCGAAAGCGACGCACUGGACCUCUUCUGACGCUGAGGCGCGAAAGCCAGGGGAGCAAACGGG